AGUCUUGAGAAGGGCUGUCCCUAGUACGAGAGGACCGGGACGGACGAACCUCUGGUGUGCCAGUUGUUCUGCCAAGGGCAUGGCUGGUUGGCUACGUUCGGGAGGGAUAACCGCUGAAAGCAUCUAAGCGGGAAGCCUGCUUCGAGAUGAGGACUCCCACCCACUUGAUGGGGUAAGGCUCCCAGUAGACGACUGGGUUGAUAGGCCGGAUCUGGAAGCCAGGUAACUGGUGGAGGUGACCGGUACUAAUAGGCCGAGGGCUUGUCCUCAGUUG
rnacentral:rRNA from 1 species